rnacentral:misc_RNA from 1 species
GGAUACCACCCGUGCAUUUCUGGAUCAAUGAUCCGUACCUCAAUGUCCGGGCGCGCAGCUAGAGCGACCUGAAGAAAUUCAGGUUGGGUUUGAGGGGAAAUUAGGUGCGCUU